UUGCUAUUAUAGACUUCUUCUCUACUUCCUCAAAUUUGAUAAAUCGAUACAAAGAACCACAGAAUAUGAACAGCUCUUCUUAUGCGUUUUUUUUUCAUUAUCCUGAAACAAUCUUUGAUCUACACGAACCUAAAAGUCUCUUUCUUUUUUCCCAGGGGCAUCCAUGAUGAAGCUACAGGCGGUCCUCAGUGGUUUCAUCCUUACCUUUUGCCUCUGUUACUCCGUCUACGUCUCCUUCAUCAUCACUGGAGAUUUCUUCGGCGAACUGGCAGUCGCAACGCAUAGUCAAUAACAGAGAGACGAAAAAAGUGUACUUGCAAAUGCAAUAUAGGAAGCCGGGCAUAGGAAGUUGUUGAGCCUGGACAUGAGGCAAAAUGACCAAGAGAGAGGUGCAGCGGUGGGUCACACAUAAGUAGAAGCAGAAGGAUGAGAAAAUAAAGGCAGUAAGGAUGGGAGGGAUCACAAUCCAAGAACAACGAAGCGAUAGUUUACUGCAAUCUACAAGAAUGCCAGUACGUAUGAGAAAAUAAAGGCAGUAAGUAUGUGAGCAAGUUUAGGAAGUCAACGAAGCAGCACAAUUUUUGUGAGAAGGAUGAGAUGAAGCGGAAAUUUUUUCAGAGGAUCAACGUAAACAACAUCGUGUAGUUUAUCCUAAAAAAAUCACGAAAAGGAGCGGCUUAUAUAACAAUGCUGGAACAAAUAAAAAAAACAAACUAUCAACCAGAACAAAGUCGCUGUCACACUAUCCUCCAGAAAUCUCAAGUUAUUAAAGCAAUAAGAGUUGCUCUCAGAGUUUAACGAUACCAUUAAGUUGUCUCGAACGUGUUUACAGACCCAGAGACGUCGUGAGGUGGACGUCGAUUAGGAAGAAGAAGAAGAUUAUGCUGUACUUUGUAUAUCCAUGGAGAUCUCAGUGUUGAGUUGGUGAGUUCACUAAUAUGUGCUUAGCUGUUACUAUGACAUAUGUUUAUUGUGAGUGGAUUUUAAUGAUCUUCGGCAUGGUUGGAAUGAGAUAAAAGAGUGAUCAAAAACUGAAAUUCCCCUUUAUAUUUUUUGGCAUC